rnacentral:rRNA from 1 species
AUGCAGUGUGGGAAGAAAGAAGUAAUGGGACUGCGUAUCCAAGCAAUUGCUGCCAUGGACUCCUUCGUACAACCUUGUAAGCGAAAAAAAAGUUGCAGUGUGCCUGUACAAAGAACUAGCGUUAGCCCAAGAUCAAAGAGCGAGGUCCCCAUGGACGUUGCAUCAUCCCACAGCAGUGGCACCGGCCCAAUCAUGCAUUAUGAAUUGCCAGCUGCUGAUGCUCUAGAGGCUAAACUAGUGGUAGAAAAAGAUUCUGUUUCCGCACUUAGAGAUGAAGUUGACAUGUUGGGGAAGCAAACAGCACAAUCACAAGCAGUACUCAAGACAACCAUUAAAUAUUUGGUGGAUUUCAAAACGAAGCAAGCUGAGACUGACCAGAUUGUUAAGGUCCUGAAGGAAAAAUGA